GGUCAGUGCAGCCAUCUUGGAUUUGAGCUGUGUGUGAUGAAGCAGGUGUAAUUUCAUCUCUGUCCAUCCUCACGUUUUGUGCCUUAGACAUCACUGUUUAACUUUCAGCUGUCACAAAGGAAAAUGAAUGUCUUACAAACCAUGAAGUCUGGUGGACUGCAAAGGGACACCAAAAUUGGAAGUGUUGGCCCCUAUCCUCUUUAGUUGAGACCAACUUGCAAGGUGUCAGAGAAAGAAAUGACCUCCAUUUGAAAGAGUUCUCCUGCUCCUAGAGUCAGUUUUUCUAUGUGAUUUAAAUUUAUUUCCCCAAACACAUCAGGACAUACCAGCAAGAGGAAUUGGUCACACUGCUGAAAUAAGGAACGAUUGAAUGUGGGAAUAUGGCGUCCAGAAGCAGCUCUUGUGUUCAGCAAACAUCAGCUGGUGCCCUCCAUACAUCUCACAAAGGCAGAAAAAAAGAAUUUUCUGCUGCUUAGAGUGUGGAAAGAGGUUUUUUGACGGGUGCAAUCUGCAAAGACACUGGCUUAUUCACACAGGAGAGAAUCCAUACCACUGCUCCGAAUCUGGAAAGAUUUUUACUCUGAAGAGUCAUCUCCAAAGGCACCAGAGCAUUCACAUAGAAGAGAAACCCUUUUGCUGUUCAGACUGUGGGAAGUGUUUUACUUUACACAGUCAUCUCCAAAGGCACCAACACAUUCACACAGAUGUUACAUGAUUGUUGUUCACAAUUUCACCUCUAAUGUUCCAGAACCCUGCUGGAAAAGAUUUGGUUCUGUAACAUUUCAGAUGCUACUUAUGGGAUCAUGGAGUCUCAAGAGACCUGUGUUUCUCUCUGAAUAUUUUUCUCUCUGAAUAUUCUGUUCUGUUUUGGUGGUGAAGAGAUAACAGGCUUUGUAAAAGUAGGACAGUAGCUAUUAUGAGAAUGACAUUUCCAUUGUUGUGUCUCCAGAAAGGAAACAGUAAUACAGAAGGAGCUGAACUGAAUUAUCUUAAUGGUGUCCUAAUAUCUUUUUUAAGCUUCUGUUGCUACUGUUAGUGGUAUUUGUAGGGUAGCAAAAAAGUUCACUUGCAUUAUCUAGCAUAAAGGUGUUACAUUUACUCAAAUUGUGAGAGCUUUUUUUUCCCCACUUCUGCAUUUCAAAAAAUAUUGGACCCUGCAGACAUGCACUCAACAAUUCCCUGUCAUUAUCUGUGUUGAUGUUGUUGUGCAUGUGUAAAAUGAAUGUUAAAAGUCUUAACUUGAAAAGAUGUUAACUUAGGAAUAAAGAUUGGAAGUUUCUAGAAUACGGCUCCUGGCUACCGUCAAUCUCAAACAUCGCUUUUAUUGUUAAAUUAAUUGCUGGAAAAAGGUUGUUGCCGCCCAAAUACAGUUCCAUCAAAUAAUCCAUUUGAACACUUCCAAUCUGGUGUCUGUUCACUCCACAGCACUGGGACUGCUCUCCUGUUUUUCUGACUGCCUUCCUGACUUUGUAUCCUUAGUAGUACUUUAGUAGACCUCAGCUUUGCUUUCAUUGAAAUCAGUGCCCACUUCUCUGCUAUUGACAUGGCUCAUACUGCCCUUUCCUGGUUUACUUACUACUUCACAGACAGACAACACAAAACAUUAAACAUUCAGACCUCUUUGCUCUUACCUCAUUUUAUGUCACAGCCAUACUCCAAAAUGAAAUUAAUUUUUUUUCAUCAGCAAAAACCUCCAUAGUAAAAAGCAUAAACAAGGUUUCAAAGUUUUAUAAGUUUAUUAAACAUUACUAAAAUGUCAUAUUUAUGAGGAUUAAGACACCUUAAAUAUUCUUGGGUAUGAGGCCACAAGCUUGGUAUGUUUGGGUUUGUGAAGCUUCUCCCAUUCCUCUUUACAGAACUUCUUAUGCUCUGUCAGGAGCAUUGCUGUACCACUGUUUUUAUUUUGGCAAUAUUUUUUGCAGAUUGAUGAGAAAAUUAAUCCAUUUUAGAGUAAGGCAGUAAUGUGACAAAAUCAAAAAAGCCAAGGAGUGUGAAUACUUUCUGAAUGUACCAUUACACUACUUGGCGAUCCCCCCCCCAUUGAUUUUGCUUAUUAAGAUUAAGAGACCCUCAUUAGUCCCACAACAGGGAAAUUUCACCUCCACAUUUAACCCAUCCAUGCAGUGAAAAACACACUAGUGAACACACACACACACACACUAGUGGGCAGUGAGCACGCUUGCCCGGAGCAGUGGGCAGCCCUAUCCGCAGUGCAUCCACACUACAACAUAUUUAAAACUCAGAUGCUUGAGUAAUCACACACAUUAAACACUGCCCACCAAGCAGCCAUUCUCUACACACUGCUCUGGUUACCCAUCCCCAAGCGUUUCAAUACAAGCUAAUUUUCAUAAUCUUCAGAACCCAUCCAUGGACUUGUGUACUUCUCGAUACUGUAUCAUUAAUGUCGCCUUCUGUUUGCUUCUGUACUUUUAUCUUGCUGUUUUUGUAAUUUUCCAUGUAAAUUUUUGUUCUUG